GCUGGGUGUGGUGGUGCACGCCUGUAAUCCCAGCAGCUCAGCAAGCUGAGGCAGGAGGAUCAGGAGUUCAAAGCCAGCCUCAG
rnacentral:sRNA from 1 species